rnacentral:rRNA from 1 species
ACGGAAGGCAGCAGUGGGGAAUAUUGCACAAUGGGGGAAACCCUGAUGCAGCGACGCCGCGUGAGCGAAGAAGUAUUUCGGUAUGUAAAGCUCUAUCAGCAGGGAAGAAAAUGACGGUACCUGACUAAGAAGCUCCGGCUAAAUACGUGCCAGCAGCCGCGGUAAUACGUAUGGAGCAAGCGUUAUCCGGAUUUACUGGGUGUAAAGGGAGCGCAGGCGGUGGUUCAAGUCUGAUGUGAAACUCCGGGGCCCAACCCCGGAACUGCAUUGGAAACUGUGCCACUAGAGUGUCGGAGGGGUAAGUGGAAUUCCUAGUGUAGCGGUGAAAUGCGUAGAUAUUAGGAGGAACACCAGUGGCGAAGGCGGCUUACUGGACGACAACUGACGCUGAGGCUCGAAAGCGUGGGGAGCAAACAGGAUUAGAUACCCUGGUA